rnacentral:ncRNA from 1 species
GCGGUUUUCUGCGGAAAGUAAUUGAUGAAGACAAACCCCCUCGUCUGGUCGAUGAUAUGAAAGAGCGGGUUCCAGUCGAACAUGUUGACCAUGAACGGCGGCAGGGUGUUCACCACGAACAUCUUGCCCGAUGCAAUCAUGUUCGCGCGCUG